AAUGAACGCUGGCGGCAUGCCUAACACAUGCAAGUCGAACGAAGGCUUCGGCCUUAGUGGCGCACGGGUGUGUAACGCGUGGGAAUCUGCCCUCAGGUUCGGAAUAACAGCGAGAAAUUGCUGCUAAUACCGGAUGAUAUCGCGAGAUCAAAGAUUUAUCGCCUGAGGAUGAGCCCGCGUAGGAUUAGCUAGUUGGUGUGGUAAAGGCGCACCAAGGCGACGAUCCUUAGCUGGUCUGAGAGGAUGAUCAGCCACACUGGGACUGAGACACGGCCCAGACUCCUACGGGAGGCAGCAGUGGGGAAUAUUGGACAAUGGGCGAAAGCCUGAUCCAACAAUGCCGCGUGAGUGAUGAAGGCCUUAGGGUUGUAAAGCACUUUUACCCGGGAUGAUAAUGACAGUACCGGGAGAAUAAGCUCCGGCUAACUCCGUGCCAGCCGCCGCCGUAA
rnacentral:rRNA from 1 species